GCUAAAGGUCUAGCUGCUGUAUUUCCCAAGGAAAGAAUAGAGUGCGAGCUAACUUCACUCAGAGGUGGAGCAAGAUGUAGUAAGACAGACAGGACAAGAGAGGAGGAAGGGAGGCUAGAUAUAAAGGAGGUGGAGCCCCUCCUGUCAGACACAGGUGCACUGAAAGAGUGAUAUAAUCAGCUGUAGACGGCAUGCUUCACUCACCCACCGAGGCACUCCAUUAGCAGUCCAUCCACUCAACCUUAUGGAAGACCAGUUCCUCCAGAAAGCUGUGGGGUGAAAUGUGACGCAGCCUCAACAACACUCCUUUCGGUGCCACUAGGGAGCUGUACACAUUGAUUAGUAAUUGUCCUUGCUCCUUUCCUGAGAUGCUGUUUGUCCCACAGGGAGGUGGCCAUUACACCACAGCUAGCCACAGGGACCAUUCAAGGGCAAUCAGAGCAAACAGACUCAGGAUAACCACUUAUAUGGCAGAGUGCAUUGGCUGGUAUUGGUAACAGCAAGCAAAAAGCAAGAAAGUCUGGGGAGAGAAGUGGGAUUGGUUUGGAAGUGGAAUUGGUUUGGUGUGGGAAUGUCACAGCGAGCAGUGUUGGCACUGUAGUGAAGGACUUUUCUGAAAAAAUUCUGCUUACCUCUGUGUAA